CUCAAAUUGUGGACUAAAAAAGAUAUUCACCUCCAGAAAAAAAGCAGGAAGUAUUGGCCGGGGUUCCAGGAG